rnacentral:rRNA from 1 species
CCUACGGGUGGCAGCAGUGGGGAAUAUUGGACAAUGGGGGGAACCCUGAUCCAGCCAUGCCGCGUGUGUGAAGAAGGCCCUCGGGUUGUAAAGCACUUUCAGUGAGGAAGAACGCCUGGUGGUUAAUACCCAUCAGGAAAGACAUCACUCACAGAAGAAGCACCGGCUAACUCCGUGCCAGCAGCCGCGGUAAUACGGAGGGUGCGAGCGUUAAUCGGAAUUACUGGGCGUAAAGCGCGCGUAGGUGGCUUGAUAAGCCGGUUGUGAAAGCCCCGGGCUCAACCUGGGAACGGCAUCCGGAACUGUCAAGCUCGAGUGCAGGAGAGGAAGGUAGAAUUCCCGGUGUAGCGGUGAAAUGCGUAGAGAUCGGGAGGAAUACCAGUGGCGAAGGCGGCCUUCUGGACUGACACUGACGCUGAGGUGCGAAAGCGUGGGUAGCAAACAGGAUUAGAUACCCUAGUAGUC